AACGAACGCUGGCGGCGUGCUUAAUACAUGCAAGUCGAGCGAGAAAGUUCCCUUCGGGGAGCGAGUACAGCGGCGAACGGGUGCGUAACACGUGGGCAAUUUGCCCCUAAGUCCGGGACAAGCCACCGAAAGGGGGUCUAAUACCGGAUGUGGUUGUUCCGAGGCAUCUCGGGACAAUCAAAGGUAGCCACUACACUAUGCUAUCGCUUGGGGAUGAGCCCGCGGCCCAUUAGCUUGUUGGCGGGGUAACGGCCCACCAAGGCUACGAUGGGUAGCCGGCCUGAGAGGGUGAUCGGCCACACU
rnacentral:rRNA from 1 species